GAAUGGCCGCCGCGUUCGCGCGGGCGCGGCUGGGCCGGGAGGGCGGCGCGGGGCUGUGAGGGAGCGGCCGUCAGGCUGAGCCGGCCGGGCUGUGACCGCCAUGGGGUGGGUGCUGCUCAGGGCGCUGCGCCGCCGCUGGGCAGCCUACAAGUACCGCUUCGUGCCCUGGCUCGCCCUCAACCUCCGCCGUCAGGGCAGGACCCUCCGAUAUGUUCCUGAAAGCUCUCAAGACAAAAUUAUCUCUGAUGAAGAUGUCUUUGAGACACUACUGAAAACAUUUAAAGCUCUGUUCCUAAAUGAUUUCAGUAGACAAGCGGAUAUUUUGGCCUUGCUUCCAGAAGUCAAAUGUCAGUAUCUGGAAUUACUGACUUGGGAGCAGAAGUGGUCAAAAGUAACUUCGUGUAACCAUGGGAGUCAGCAGGUGUUUAGUCCUGAGGAAGUUCUGUUAAACACACUUGGAUUCACUGUUGGUAGAGACCAGAGUUCCCUCGUGUCUGCUGGAACUGGAGUCUUUGUUACCAAAGGUUUUGUGCCAAAAGGGACAGUUGUGUCAAUGUAUCCUGGUACAGUAUACAGAAAGCAUGAGCCCAUCUUUUUCCAGUCCCUUGGCAAUCCCUUUAUUUUUAGGUGCAUUGAUGGCAUCCUUAUUGAUGGGAACGAUAAAGGACUAUCAAGAUCAGUGUACAGGUCUUGCAGGAGGAGAGAUCAACUUGGCCCAUUUCAGAUGAGUGAUGAGAGCUGGCUCACUGAUGCUCCGCAAAACCCACUGGCAGUGGGACAGUAUGUCAACAACUGCUCACAUGAAAAAGCAGCAAACGUGUGUUAUCAAGAGUUUGAUGUGCCGGAACAUUUUCCAAUAGAGCUGAAACAGUACCUUCCAAACAUCGUCUACAACCAUGAUGUAGAGAGGUUGGCAGCAAAUGAAAGAGCUCGUGGAUUUGUAUGAUACAAGCAUACUGCAUGUGUAAAAAAAGACAGACACAGUUGAAAAAUAAUAUACAGUAUGAAGAUGAGUUACACAAAAAUGUGCAACUACAUGGGAGAGUUAGCUCUUUGAAUAGACUGAGUUCAGUUCCAAGACUGUUUGUUCCUUUUUCCGCAUCUUCGCAGAUGAGUUCGGUGUGAAGACACGGUUUUACAAGCAGUGAUUGGGUUGCUCUGUAGGGCAGUUCUUCUGAAUCCCAUAAAGCAUUGGUUAUAUUUUGCUUGUAUUACAGUAUUGGAGGUUUUAGCCACCUGAGGUGUGUAGUUCUUGUCACUCUCAGAGACAUCAAGCAAGGAGAAGAACUUUUUUCAAAUUACUACACUGUUGUC